UGCGGAGGGAUCAUUACAGAGUUCAUGCCCUAACGGGUAGAUCUCCCACCCUAUGUUAUUAUUACCUUUGUUGCUUUGGCGGGCCGCCCGGCCUCGGCCAGGCUACCGGCUCCGGCUGGUAAGCGCCCGCCAGAGGACCCCAAACCCUGAAUGUUAGUGUCGUCUGAGUACUAUAUAAUAGUUAAAACUUUCAACAACGGAUCUCUUGGUUCUGGCAUCGAUGAAGAACGCAGCGAAAUGCGAUAAGUAAUGUGAAUUGCAGAAUUCAGUGAAUCAUCGAAUCUUUGAACGCACAUUGCGCCCCUUGGUAUUCCGAGGGGCAUGCCUGUUCGAGCGUCAUUACAACCCUCAAGCAAUGCUUGGUGUUGGGCCCCGCCGCUCACCCGGCGGGCUCUAAAAUCAGUGGCGGUGCCGUCGGGCUCUGAGCGUAGUAAUUCUUCUCGCUACAGGGUCCCGGUGGAUGCUGGCCAACAACCCCCAAUUUUCUAUGGUUGACCUCGGAUCAGGUAGGGAUACCCGCUGAACUUAAGCAUAUCA
rnacentral:sRNA from 1 species